rnacentral:lncRNA from 1 species
CAAGAAGAAGAACGAUGCCGGAAAGUCGGCCAAAAUGAAAAAAAAGACCCAGUAAAUAAAUCUGGUGGCAAAGCCAAAAAGAAAACGACGUGGUCCAAAGGCAAAGUUUGGGGCAAAUUGAACAAUCUUGUCCUGUUUGACAAAGCUAUAUACAACAAACUCUGUGAGGGAGUUCCCAACUAUAAGCCUAUUUCUGUAGUCUCCAAGAGACUAAAGACUUGUGGUUCCUUGGCCAGGGCAGCCCUUUAGGAGCUGUUUAGUGAAGGACUUACCAAGCUGGUUCCAAAGCAGAGAGCCCAAGUCAUUUACCCCAGAAACACAAAGGGUGGAGGCGGCCCGGCUGCUCGCGAAGAUGCAUGA